UACAGAGGGUGCAAGCGUUAAUCGGAAUUACUGGGCGUAAAGCGCGCGUAGGUGGUUUGUUAAGUUGAAUGUGAAAUCCCCGGGCUCAACCUGGGAACUGCAUCCAAAACUGGCAAGCUAGAGUAUGGUAGAGGGUGGUGGAAUUUCCUGUGUAGCGGUGAAAUGCGUAGAUAUAGGAAGGAACACCAGUGGCGAAGGCGACCUUCUGGACAGUGACUGACGCUGAGACGCGAAAGCGUGGGGAGCAAACAGG
rnacentral:rRNA from 1 species